rnacentral:rRNA from 1 species
AACGAACGCUGGCGGCAUGCCUAACACAUGCAAGUCGAACGAGAUCUUCGGGUCUAGUGGCGCACGGGUGCGUAACGCGUGGGAAUCUGCCCUUUGGUUCGGAAUAACAGUUGGAAACGACUGCUAAUACCGGAUGAUGACGAAAGUCCAAAGAUUUAUCGCCAGAGGAUGAGCCCGCGGAGGAUUAGCUAGUUGGUGUGGUAAAGGCGCACCAAGGCGACGAUCCUUAGUUGGUCUGAGAGGAUGGUCAGCCACGCUGGGACUGAGACACGGCCCAGAGUCCUACGGGAGGCAGCAGUGGGGAAGAGUGGACAAUGGGCGAAAGCCUGAUCCAGCAAUGCCGCGUGAGUGAUGAAGGCCUUAGGGUUGUAAAGCUCUUUUACCCGGGAUGAUAAUGACAGUACCGGGAGAAUAAGCUCCGGCUAACUCCGUGCCAGCAGCCGCCGUAA